rnacentral:rRNA from 1 species
AGCAGCCGCGGUAAUUCCAGCUCCAAUAGCGUAUAUUAAAGUUGUUGCAGUUAAAAAGCUCGUAGUUGAACUUCGGGAUCAAUGGAUUGGCCAUGCCGAUGGUGUGUACUGGUCAUAUUGGUUCUCACCUUCUAAGGAACCAUAAUGUCAUUUAUUUGAUGUUGUGGGGAAUUAGGACUGUUACCUUGAAAAAAUUAGAGUGUUUAAAGCAGGCUAACGCUUGAAUACAUUAGCAUGGAAUAAUGGAAUAGGACAUCGCAUUCUAUUUUGUUGGUUUCUAGGAUCGAUGUAAUGAUUAAUUGGGAUAGUUGGGGGCAUUAGUAUUCAAUUGUCAGAGGUGAAAUUCUUGGAUUUAUUGAAGACUAACUACUGCGAAAGCAUUUGCCAAGGAUGUUUU